rnacentral:rRNA from 1 species
UACGUGGGGGGCAAGCGUUGUUCGGAAUUACUGGGCGUAACGGGCUCGUAGGCGGCCAACUAAGUCAGACGUGAAAUCCCUCGGCUUAACCGGGGAACUGCGUCUGAUACUGGGUGGCUUGAAUCCGGGAGAGGGAUGCGGAAUUCCAGGUGUAGCGGUGAAAUGCGUAGAUAUCGGAAGGAACAUCAGUGGCGAAGGCGGCUAACUGGUCCAGAUCUGACGCUGAGGUGCGAAAGCGUGGGGAGCAAACAGG